rnacentral:rRNA from 1 species
AGAGUUUGAUCAUGGCUCAGGAUGAACGCUAGCUACAGGCUUAACACAUGCAAGUCGAGGGGCAGCAUGGUCUUAGCUUGCUAAAGGCCGAUGGCGACCGGCGCACGGGUGAGUAACGCGUAUCCAACCUGCCUUACACUCUUGGACAGCCUUCUGAAAGGGAGAUUAAUACAAGAUGUUAUCAUGAGUAAGCAUUUUCACAUGAUUAAAGGUUUACCGGUGUAAGAUGGGGAUGCGUUCCAUUAGAUAGUAGGCGGGGUAACGGCCCACCUAGUCUUCGAUGGAUAGGGGUUCUGAGAGGAAGGUCCCCCACAUUGGAACUGAGACACGGUCCAGACUCCUACGGGAGGCAGCA